UACGGGGGGGGCAAGCGUUGUUCGGAAUUACUGGGCGUAAAGGGCUCGUAGGUGGCCAACUAAGUCAGACGUGAAAUCCCUCGGCUUAACCGGGGAACUGCGUCUGAUACUGGUUGGCUUGAGUUUGGGAGAGGGAUGCGGAAUUCCAGGUGUAGCGGUGAAAUGCGCAGAUAUCGGAAGGAACACCAGUGGCGAAGGCGGCACUCUGGGCCAGUACUGACACUGAGGAGCGAAAGCGUGGGUAGCGAACAGG
rnacentral:rRNA from 1 species